UAGAUUGAAGCCAGUUGUCUAGGGUAUUUAGCUGUUAACUAAAAUUUCGUGGGAUGAUAGCCCACCAAUCUAG
rnacentral:tRNA from 1 species